AUCAUUUCUUCCAGAGAAAGUCAACCCAAUGUUGGCAACAAAUCCCAGAGGCCAAAUUUCAAAAUCGAGCGAGAAAAUCAUGAGAAAAAGAAGAAUUUCAACUGCGGAAACGGCUGCUUGUUUCACUGGAAAACUUCAUCGUUGUCGCCUUCAUUAUUCAACAAGUCAAAAACAUUUCUUUCAUCAAAAUCAACGAAAGAAUCAGAAAGACAGUUUCAACAAGCCGUUUUCAAUGCUGGCAUCGAUUUCCAAGAACAAAUACGGGAAAUUUAGCGAUGACAAGUUUAUUUUCCGGUCAAGAAAGUAUCAACUCCAGUUAAAUCAAGGUGGUAUUUGUUUGCAUUUGGAGUUGGAAGGUUCCCGAUGGAGAUUGAGCUUAAGGAUAUGAAGAUGAGACAGAGCAGGAAAUAUACGACGAUGAAGUUUCGAUCACCAGACCGAGGCGGAGAU